rnacentral:lncRNA from 1 species
GGGAUCUCUGCUGUUACGUGACACUUCCUACGGCUCCCAUGGGCUCUCAGAAGGCGGCAAAAAGCUGAAUCAUGGCUUUGCAGGCUCUGGCUGAAAAAAAGUAGCGCGUUUGGAUAGUGGCUGGUCACAGUACUGUGAGACUCAGGCUCGUGCACGAGGGGAUCCCAUGCUUUUAUUUUCUCUCUCUUUGUACGUAUACACGCUUUCCCGGUCGGAAUAUUAUCGCUUUUUUACGAGAAAAAUGGCAUAAUAAUUGAUUUUAAACUGCGGUUGACAUGCUUUGAAGUACGGUAAUGGAAUAUUUAGAAAUCUUUUGUCACGAAAUGAGUCGUGCUCGUGACCCUUAUUUACACUUCGGAUAGUGUCUUGAACCCACGAACAAAACGCCGCUAUUUGGAUAUAACAAUGGAUUAUUUUGAACCAAACCAACAUUUUUUAUUGAAGUAGCAGUCCUGGGAGUGCAUUCUGACGAAGAACACCAAAGAACCACCUGCAACUGGAAACGGACGUUUAAGAUAACUGGUUUCCAGAAUUGGGAACCAAGAGAGUACAGCCAAUACCAGGUCGGUGGUUCCUGGUUCGAAGAGCCGACAUCCUGGACCUCAACAUUGUCCAGGAUUUCCAUCUCCACCGUCCGGACCGGCCCGCUCUUCAUCCUGGGGCCGUCCUCCUGGCCGGCAUCAUUGGGAGGGGGUACUGUCACACCUACUCCCGCUCCCUCUCUCCAACGCUCAAAUUUGCCGGUUUACUAACCACUGGCCCUGGCAACCAUUAUUACGCACACCUGCUCCCCAUCAUUACACACACCUGCUCCCCAUCAUUACGCACACCUGGACUUCAUCAUCACCUUUAUUACCUUCCCUUUAUUUAGCCCUCAGUAGCCUCAGUCAUUAGGCAGUAUUGAUUUGUUUUCAUGUUCAGUAUGCAUCCCCUAUUUUGUUCAUUUGCCUUGCAACGUUGUUAUUAAACUCUCCUUCUGCACCUGCUUCCUGACUCCCUGCAUAUACAUGACCGUAUGUAAAUGUUAUGUUUACAGUUUACCGGAACUAUUCGUUUGCCAUAGCUAAUAUCUAGGUUUAUUGUUAGUUAAAAAAUUAUAACGAUGCUUCAAAUGGGGGAAAGGGUCUUAGAACAUAGAAAGCCCUUGAAGUGUGUGCUCUGCUCUCUGUUGCUUUGACCAACUCUUAGAUUGAGCCCAACUUUAUAACCUAAUGUUUUCAUUAUAAGUGCAAACAAAGUUUUGGAGACAAUGAGACGAAGCCCCUUCAGACUUUUGGGAGUGACAGUCUUACUGUAUGCUUAAACCGGUGUUGCAAAAGGCCUGUGACAUACCUAGCAUUCCUUUUCUUUGUGAUAAGUGACAUCACUUUUUGACUAAAUGAUGUGUCAUGCUUAGUUUGUUGUUGUUGUUUUAAACCAAAGCAUAUAGGCCUAGCUAUAAAUCCUUACCCUGACAGUAGACCUAGUCUAUGGGUCAGGAGAGAUUCCAUGGUUCAGAUCAGGAGAAUUGACAUUUUGAGUCAUUUUCAUAGCAUCAAAAAAGGACAAAUGUUCCUGUAAUUGCUUUCAUCUCAACUGUUGCUAGUCAGCAGCAACCCUAAUGAACUGUUGUUAGCCAGCAGCAAUCCUUAUGAACUGUUAGUCAGCAGCAACCCUUAUGAACUGUUGUUAGUCAGCUGCAACACUUAUGAACUGUUAGUCAGCAGCAACCCUUAUGAACUGUUGUUAGUCAGCUGCAACCCUUAUGAACUGUUGCUAGUCAGCAGCAACCCUUAUGAACUGUUAGUCAGCAGCAACCCUUAUGAACUGUUGCUAGUCAGCAGCAACCCUUAUGAACUGUUGCUAGUCAGCUGCAACCCUCACUCAUUCAAAGUGACCUUGUUUAAGCAGAAGGGCCAACUUCAGGAGUAAACGUUAUUCAUAAUAAGGCUUACACACAUAGAGAAAAUCGGACAUCUCUGAAAUGAAAAUGGAUGUCACUACCUUCAGCAAUUUAUUUUUUACCUAAACCUUCCCUGAACUCUUGAGAAAAAACAAGUGACACUCCCAUAUACCCCCCAAAAAUUAUUAAAACAAAGUGUAUACAGAGAACAUCCUUACAGUUUACCCUCACCUCUUGGAGACACCAGAGCCUUAGAUAUGUCGUUUUAGAAACUGUUCUUCAUCCUGUCAGCAUUACAUGGCAACGCAUAAAUUAUGAUAGCGUACAGGGCUGCGGGCCAGAAGUUUGUGUGUUCACAGACCCCCAUGGACAAGAGUAAGGGUGGAAAGAUCUCAUUUAUAGUAAAGGCAUUGCAUGAAUCUAUCAACAUAUUUGCAGGCCCGAGAAAAAUGUGCCUCUAUAAACAUUUCAUGCAAAUAUUUUUUAAUACUACACAAAUUGCUCAAAUUACAGGCUAAGAAUGGACAUAGAGAUAGGCCUAUGUGUUCAUCCUAUCCAAUGACGACCUGUCAUUCAGGGCAGCUUUGUUAAUCAUGUUUAGCAUUUAUUUGAGCCUCACCUGUUUUGCAUGCUAUUUUGGCAUUAAUACGUGUCACAUAUCAGUUUGCAAACAAUGUACAAAAAAAUUACUAAAUGAGUUAAUAAAGACGCAUACAACAUGG